AAACCUACAACUAGGAAAAUUUGUUUCAGUAAAUAAAUAGGGUGUACAUAAACAUAUAAAGUUAGUGUUAAAUUAAAUAGUAUUAAUUACAUAUUACAAAACGUGUGCAAAAUAAUUA